rnacentral:rRNA from 1 species
GACGAACGCUGGCGGCGUGCCUAACACAUGCAAGUCGAACGAAACGUCCCGGCCUUGGGGCGCACGGGGGCGGAAGACGUGGGGAGCUGCACUUGGGUACGGUAUACCUCCCCGAAAGGGGUGCUAAUGCCGCAUAGUGUCUUACGGCCAAAGAUCUUUUGCCAUUGGGUGGGCCCGCGUUGGAUUCGCUAGUUGGUAGUGUAAUAGCCUGCCAUGGGGUCGUUCCAGAGCUGGUCUGAGAGGAUGAUCCGCAACGCUUGGACUGAGACACGGCCCAGAAUCCUACGGAAGGGAGCAGAGGGUAAUAUUGGAGAAUGGGGGAAAGCCUGAUCCAGCAAUGCCGGGGGAGUGAUGAAGGGCUUAGGGUUGUAAAGCUGUUUUAGCCGGGAUGAUAAUGACAGUACCGGGAGAAUAAGCUCCGGCUAACUCCGUG